GAUGAACGCUGGCGGCGUGCCUAAUACAUGCAAGUCGAGCGAACAGACGAGAGUGCUUGCCCUCUCUGACGUUAGCGGCGGACGGGUGAGUAACACGUGGGUAACCUACCUAUAAGACUGGGAUAACUUCGGGAAACCGGCGCUAAUACCGGAUAAUAUUUAGCUUCGCAUGAAGCAAUAGUGAAAGACGGUUCUGCUGUCACUUAUAGAUGGACCCGCGGUGUAUUAGCUAGUUGGUGAGGUAACGGCUCACCAAGGCAACGAUACAUAGCCGACCUGAGAGGGUGAUCGGCCACACUGGGACUGAGACACGGCCCAGACUCCUACGGGAGGCAGCAGUAGGGAAUCUUCCGCAAUGGACGAAAGUCUGACGGAGCAAUGCCGCGUGAGUGAAGAAGGUUUUCGGAUCGUAAAACUCUGUUGUAAGGGAAGAACAAGUACGUUAGUAACUGAACGUACCUUGACGGUACCUUAACAGAAAGCCACGGCUAACUACGUG
rnacentral:rRNA from 1 species